AUUGAACGCUGGCGGCAUGCUUUACACAUGCAAGUCGAACGGUAACAGGCCGCAAGGUGCUGACGAGUGGCGAACGGGUGAGUAAUGCAUCGGAACGUGCCCAGUCGUGGGGGAUAACGCAGCGAAAGCUGCGCUAAUACCGCAUACGAUCUAUGGAUGAAAGCGGGGGACCGUAAGGCCUCGCGCGAUUGGAGCGGCCGAUGUCAGAUUAGGUAGUUGGUGGGGUAAAGGCUCACCAAGCCGACGAUCUGUAGCUGGUCUGAGAGGACGACCAGCCACACUGGGACUGAGACACGGCCCAGACUCCUACGGGAGGCAGCAGUGGGGAAUUUUGGACAAUGGGCGCAAGCCUGAUCCAGCAAUGCCGCGCGCAGGAAGAAGGCCUUCGGGUUGUAAACUGCUUUUGUACGGAACGAAAAGGCUCUGGUUAAUACCUGGGGCUCAUGACGGUACCGUAAGAAUAAGCACCGGCUAACUACGUGCCAGCCGCCGCAGUAAAAC
rnacentral:rRNA from 1 species